rnacentral:rRNA from 1 species
GGUGAACGCUGGCGGCGUGCCUAAGACAUGCAAGUCGAGCGGGGCAGGUUUAUACCUGUUCAGCGGCGGACGGGUGAGUAACGCGUGGGUGCCCUACCCGGAAGCGGCGGACAACCUGGGGAAACCCAGGCUAAUCCGCCAUGUGGUCCUAUCCUGUGGGGUAGGACGGAAGGGGCGACACGCUUCCGGAUGGGGCCGCGUCCCCUCAGCUAGUUGGUGGGGUAAAGGCCGACCAAGGCGACGACGGGUAGCCGGUCUGGGAGGAUGGCAGGCCACAGGGGCACUGAGACACGGGCCCCACGCCUACGGGAGGCAGCAGUUAGGAAUCUUCCGCAAUGGACGGAAGUCUGGCGGAGCGACGCCGCUUGGAGGAGGACGCCCUUCGGGGUGUAAACUCCUGAACUGGGGACGAAAGCCCUGUGUAGGGGGAUGACGGUACCCAGGUAAUAGCGCCGGCCAACUCCGUG